rnacentral:rRNA from 1 species
UGGGGAAUAUUGGACAAUGGGCGCAAGCCUGAUCCAGCCAUGCCGCGUGAGUGAUGAAGGCCCUAGGGUUGUAAAGCUCUUUCACCGGUGAAGAUAAUGACGGUAACCGGAGAAGAAGCCCCGGCUAACUUCGUGCCAGCAGCCGCGGUAAUACGAAGGGGGCUAGCGUUGUUCGGAUUUACUGGGCGUAAAGCGCACGUAGGCGGACUUUUAAGUCAGGGGUGAAAUCCCGGGGCUCAACCCCGGAACUGCCUUUGAUACUGGAAGUCUUGAGUAUGGUAGAGGUGAGUGGAAUUCCGAGUGUAGAGGUGAAAUUCGUAGAUAUUCGGAGGAACACCAGUGGCGAAGGCGGCUCACUGGACCAUUACUGACGCUGAGGUGCGAAAGCGUGGGGAGCAAACAGGAUUAGAUACCCCCGUAGUCCCUGAGCGGGCUGGCAAGGCGCAU